rfam:Triticum aestivum genome assembly, contig: Triticum_aestivum_CS42_TGACv1_scaffold_342464_4DL
CUUAUACUCCCUCCGUCCCAAAAUUCUUGUCUUAGAUUAGUCUAGAUACGGAUGUAUCAAGUACCAAAACGUGACUUGAUACAUCCGUAUUUAGACAAAUCUAAGACAAGAAUUUUGGGACGGAGGGAGUAUUUC